GAUAUAUCCAUCAUUUGAAGAUGCCUAAGCAGUUGUUAAAUUUUCUCAUUUUUGUUUCCAUUUUCAGCCCAGGUAUCGGUAUGAAUGACAACAACAAUUGGAUAACAAAAUCUAUGAUGAUGAAAACAAAUUCUAAUAUUCAUGAUUCAGGCACUGAUGCGAUAAAAGGUGUAUGUAUUGGACCUAGUCCCGUCUGUAAAGGACUCCCAGUCCGUUCAUGUUAUUGUUGUAUUGGACCGCAUAUACAUAUUUGCACACCGCUGUAUGAAAUGUGCAAAAGAUAUUGUUCUAUAAUGGAAAUUUGAUGAUUAAUUGUAACGUCAUCACCAUCACAAAUAAUAUAAUAUUCCUUGUUCUUUA